CCUACGGGGGGCAGCAGUGGGGGAUAUUGCACAAUGGGGGAAACCCUGAUGCAGCGACGCCGCGUGGGUGAAGAAGUAUUUCGGUAUGUAAAGCCCUAUCAGCAGGGAAGAAAGAAGACGGUACCUGACUAAGAAGCCCCGGCUAACUACGUGCCAGCAGCCGCGGUAAUACGUAGGGGGCGAGCGUUAUCCGGAUUCACUGGGUGUAAAGGGAGCGUAGACGGCCGUGCAAGCCAGGAGUGAAAGCCCGGGGCCCAACCCCGGGACUGCUCUUGGAACUGGGCGGCUGGAGUGCGGGAGGGGCAGGCGGAAUUCCUGGUGUAGCGGUGAAAUGCGUAGAUAUCAGGAGGAACACCGGCGGCGAAGGCGGCCUGCUGGACCGCGACUGACGUUGAGGCUCGAAAGCGUGGGGAGCGAACAGGAUUAGAUACCCGGGUAGUC
rnacentral:rRNA from 1 species